AUACUCCCCCUUACAACUUUGUUGUCGGGGGGGGUACAAUAAAAGGAUGACAUUUACCACAAAUAUCUGUAACACUGUACAAAGAUGGCAAUAUUAUACCAUUCAGCCACACCAUACCAUAUACAGUAAAGUGUAAACAUCCAAUUACACAAGUAUCAUAUUACACAAACAACAAUAACAAAUAGCUGAGUGCAAAUAUGUCUCUUUAUAUAGGACAGUAUAAAUGCACACACAUACUAUAUGGCAAACUAGCUAACUUAUCUAUGUAGUAUUUAAACAUCUUAACACAACACUUAAAAGAACAAGCACCUUUCUUUAAAGGUAGAUAUUUUCUCUUUCAGCAAGUAAUUUAACCUCUUCAGGGUAUCAACCUCUUUACAACAAACAUAUUUUUGUCUUUCCUGUGAUUUUUUUUUCUCAUGACAGGAUGUACUCUACAAUGGAAAGUUUAUAUGAACUGGCAAUUUUGUCAAUGCAUGGAAAAUUUUUGUCAUGAUAGCAAUCCUUCAUAACAUCUUCAUACAUUAAAAUUUCUUAAGGUUACUCAGUUAAAAUUUCUGUUGACACAAGUAAUGUUCACAUUUCAAAAUGAUGAUAACAGAAAUUUUGAAAUACACUAAUUUAAAACACAAUCGUUCAUGUUUUCAAGUAAGUCAGGUCAGCAAGACGUACCAGAUUAAGACAACAAAUAGCUAGUUCUUCAAGAAAGAACAUCCAAACAUGGACCUUAGUAGAUGCAAUGGUAAAAAGAAAAGCAAGUCUACAUUACAGCCUUUGUAAGAAAACAUUCUUUGGAGCCAAAACUUUUACCAACGUGUUUUCCUAUCAGGACCAUAAAGCUUGGAGUUCAAUGACUCCCUUCAGUACAUCCUACACAGAGAGACAGACUUUCUUUGCCCUGACAAUGGUAAGGAAUACCCAUCAACAUUAAGGAAGACCUUUGUCCUUGUUCUACCCCAAUCAUUAUCUACAAUAUGGCUUUAUAAUCAAGUAAGUGCAUGCUUAGUCAAGUUACCAAACUAUGAAAUGUAUUGGUUUAUAUUUCAUAGGUAUUAACUAAAUAGAUGAAAUACUCAUCAAUUGUUUUGCUGAUCUCUAACAAAUUGUUCCAGUAAUUAUCACUGCCAUCAGCAUUUUUUGUUCUAAACCAAGUGUUUCUUUGAUUGUUAUAACAUCUGUAUAACCUACUCUUUGUUUUCUUCCAAUUCUCAUAAGCUGCAAGGCCAUCUUUACGAAUGUGUUUGCUUCUUGCGCUUCUACCCAGAAUUUUAAGAGGUAAAAUAAGACAUUUUUCUUUCAGUCAAAACCCUUCCAUUUACUAUGACAACUCUAUCUGUUCCAUUAACCUUUACAAUCGUUAUUUAACAUUUACUGCACACAAAAAUCUGCAUAAACCACUUCAAGACAAUGGCAAUAGCAGCAGCAUGCCAAAUUCUCUCUGAUUAGCAGUCUUUAAACAGGUGUUGCUUGUAUUUUAAGAACCACAGGAAAAGCUUACAUGUACGCCCACUCUCCAUGUUGUGACUGCCAACUUAAUCUACCUCAAUUCCAUUAAGAAUUUUAUUUUAGAAAGACACCAGAUUGGAGAUAGACAGUCCUAAUGACCAAGAAAUGCGACUUGCAUUUUCAAAUUUUUGCCAACUAAAACACUUUAAGAUUAAGUAAAAAUUGACAAUUUUCUAAAAUCUUCCCACUAGACAAUGGAAAAUGUCUGUUUAUAGUUCAUUAUAUUCAUCCAGAGUGAGUAAGAGAUUUAACAGUUUAGUGUCUCACACAUAGCUGUGUGAUUUAUUUUCUUUUUUACAAGCUGGUAAUAUUUCUUGUUGUUUUUUUA
rnacentral:lncRNA from 1 species